GUCAGCGGCGGACGGGUGAGUAACACGUGGGCAACCUGCCUGUAAGACUGGGAUAACUUCGGGAAACCGGAGCUAAUACCGGAUAAUAUAAGGAACCUCCUGGUUCUUUAUUGAAAGAUGGUUUCGGCUAUCACUUACAGAUGGGCCCGCGGCGCAUUAGCUAGUUGGUGAGGUAACGGCUCACCAAGGCGACGAUGCGUAGCCGACCUGAGAGGGUGAUCGGCCACACUGGGACUGAGACACGGCCCAGACUCCUACGGGAGGCAGCAGUAGGGAAUCUUCCACAAUGGACGAAAGUCUGAUGGAGCAACGCCGCGUGAGCGAUGAAGGCCUUCGGGUCGUAAAGCUCUGUUGUUAGGGAAGAACAAGUGCGAGAGUAACUGCUCGCACCUUGACGGUACCUAACCAGAAAGCCACGGCUAACUACGUGCCAGCAGCCGCGGUAAUACGUAGGUGGCAAGCGUUGUCCGGAAUUAUUGGGCGUAAAGCGCGCGCAGGUGGUCCUUUAAGUCUGAUGUGAAAGCCCACGGCUCAACCGUGGAGGGUCAUUGGAAACUGGGG
rnacentral:rRNA from 1 species